GGGAAACUUUUUUUUGGAAAACUAUUGAUUUUUGCGUGUGAGGAGAGAAAUAUCAGCUAUCUCUUUUUCUCACACACAAAAUCAAAAGUUUCCUAAAAAAAAUUUCCU
rnacentral:pre_miRNA from 1 species